CAGUCGCCACGGUAAUACGAAGGGUGCAAGCGUUACUCGGAAUUACUGGGCGUAAAGCGUGCGUAGGUGGUGGUUUAAGUCCGUUGUGAAAGCCCUGGGCUCAACCUGGGAAUUGCAGUGGAUACUGGGUCACUAGAGUGUGGUAGAGGAUAGUGGAAUUUCCGGUGUAGCAGUGAAAUGCGUAGAGAUCGGAAGGAACAUCUGUGGCGAAGGCGACUAUCUGGGCCAACACUGACACUGAGGCACGAAAGCGUGGGGAGCAAACAGGAUUAGAGACCCCGGUAGUCCCUGUCUCUUAUAC
rnacentral:rRNA from 1 species